rfam:Ixodes scapularis strain Wikel colony gcontig_1108379202624, whole genome shotgun sequence.
GCAGUCAUGGCCGAGCGGUUAAGGCGAUGGACUGAAAAUCCAUUGGGGUCUCCCCGCACAGGUUCGAAUCCUGUUGACUGCG